UAAGGGAGUUUGUGUUUUGGGGGGGGUUUUGAUUAAAAACAAAAGAAAAAGAGACUCAGACAGCAUCCGAGUCUCCUGUGUCCCGAGUCCCUCCCGACCCGGCAAAAUGAUGCCGCCGGAGCUUCAACCUCGCUUUCACCGCCCUUUCAUCUCCAACUCCGUCAGUGCUCCUACCUUUUCCACCUUCAAUGGCGGCGGGUUUUCACAGGAACGAAGCCCUAACCUCAAGAACCCUCGCUUCUCCCCUUCUUCCUUCCUCCACAACCCUAGAAUCGCUGUUGCACUCGUACCUUGUGCAGCUUUCCUCCUCGACCUCGGAGGCACCCCCGUCGUCGCUACCCUUACCCUGGGUCUCAUGAUCGCUUACAUCCUCGAUUCACUCAGCUUCAAGUCUGGCUCCUUCUUCGGUGUUUGGUUUUCUCUCGUUGCUGCGCAGAUCUCUUUCUUCUUCAGCUCGUCUCUCUUCUCGUCCUUCGGGUCUUUUCCUCUCUCUAUUCUCGCUGCCUUCCUUUGCGCCCUCACCAACUUCUUGAUUGGAGCCUGGGCCUCCCUGCAAUUCAAAUGGAUUCAGAUCGAGAACCCCUCCAUCGUUCUCGCUCUCGAGCGCCUUUUGUUUGCUUGUGUCCCCAUUGUUGCUUCGCCUCUGUUUACCUGGGCGACUGUCUCGGCUGUUGGUAUGAGCAACGCUGCUUACUAUUUCAUGGUCUUCUCUUGUGUUUUCUAUUGGCUAUUCUCUAUCCCGCGCUCCUCAUCUUUCAAAUCGAAGCAAGAUUCUGGUUACCAUGGUGGGGAGGUUCCUGAUGAAACCCUCAUCCUAGGCCCCCUCGAGAGCUGUAUCCAUACUUUGAACCUUCUAUUCCUUCCUCUGCUCUUUCACAUUGCAUCUCACCGUGCUGUGGUAUUCUCUUCAGCUGCUUCUGUCUGUGAUCUGUUUCUUCUUUUCUUUGUUCCCUUCCUAUUCCAACUGUACGCCUCGACCAGGGGCGCUCUUUGGUGGGUCUCGAAGAAUGCACACCAUCUGCACAGUAUCCGUGUUGCUAACGGUGCUGUUGCAUUGGUCGUUGUCGUAUUAUCUUUGGAGAUUAGAGUUGUUUUCCAUUCGUUUGGUCGGUAUAUCCAGUUGCCUCCGCCUCUGAAUUACCUUCUGGUCACUAUUACGAUGCUUGGAGGAGCAUCUGCAGCUGGUGCUUAUGCCCUUGGUAUGAUAGGCGAUGCUUUCAGCUCCGGGAUGUUCACAUCUUUGUCUAUCCUGGUCAGUGCUGCUGGAGCGAUAGUCGUGGGCUUCCCUUUACUGUUUCUUCCCCUUCCUUUGGUCGCAGGCUUUUAUUUGGCUCGUUUUUUCACGAAGAAAAGCUUGCCUUCAUACUUUACAUUUGUCUUGCUUGCGAGCUUGAUGGUUGUAUGGUUUGUUAUUCAUAACUUUUGGAAUCUCAACAUUUGGUUGGCUGGCAUGUCUCUAAAAUCCUUCUGUAAACUGAUAGUUGCCAGUGUAAUCCUGGCAAUGGCCGUUCCCGGUUUCUCUUUUCUUCCACCAAAAUUUCGUUUCCUGACUGAGGUUGGUCUGAUUGGCCAUGCACUGCUGCUUUGCUUCAUUGAGAAUCGUUUUUAUAAUUAUUCUGGUUUGUACUAUUUUGGGUUGGAUGAAGAGGUGAUGUACCCAAGUUACAUGGUUAUCUUGACAACUUGUUUGGGCCUGGCUUUGGUGAGGAGACUGAUUGUAGAUAAUCGCGUUGGACCCAAGGCAGUUUGGAUCUUGACUUGUCUGUAUUCUUCAAAGCUGGCUAUGCUCAUUAUCACAUCAAACUCUGUUCUAUGGGCAUCGGCUGUUCUGUUAUUGGCCAUUUCGCCUCCAUUGCUUCUUUACAAGGACAAAUCAAAAGUAGGUUCAAAAAUGAAAACUUGGCAAGGUUAUGCUCAUGGUAGUGUUGUGGCUUUUUCUGCCUGGCUUUGCCGGGAAACAAUUUUUGAUGCUCUUCAAUGGUGGAAUGGAAGACCUCCAUCUUAUGGCUUACUUUUGGGUUUUUGUAUUGUAUUGACGGGAUUGGCUUGCAUCCCCAUAGUUGCUCUUCACUUUUCUCAUGUUCAGUCGGCCAAGAGAUGCUUAGUGCUUGUGGUAGCAACAGGUCUGUUGUUUAUACUGCUGCAGCCACCAAUUCCUUUGUCCUGGGCUUUCCGGUCGGACUUGAUUAGGGCUGCCCAUCAAUCUUCUGAUGACAUCUCCAUCUAUGGUUUUGUGGCCGCAAAACCUACAUGGCCAUCAUGGCUCCUUAUAUUGGCCAUCGUCCUCAUACUGGCGGCAUUUACCUCCUUCAUUCCCAUCAAGUACAUUGUUGAGUUGAGAGCAUUUUAUGCAGUUGGGGUUGGAAUAGCGCUAGGCAUCUACAUAUCUGCUGAAUAUUUCCUGCAAGCGACAAUCCUGCAUGCCCUCAUUGUGGCAACUUUGGUCUGCACUUCAGUUUUUGUGGUCUUCACCCAUUUCCCAUCAGCUUCAAGCACAAGGCUCCUGCCAUGGAUAUUUGCUCUGCUGGUUGCUCUCUUCCCAGUUUCAUACCUCCUGGAGGGCCAGAUGAGAGUCAAAAACAUCCUCGAAGGUGGAGCUGGAGUGGGUGAGGAAGACAGCAAGCUCACCAUGCUAUUAGCCGUUGAAGGGGCAAGGACAUCACUUCUUGGGUUAUAUGCUGCUAUUUUCAUGCUUAUUGCGCUGGAGAUAAAGUUUGAGCUAGCUUCAUUGUUACGGGAAAGGACCCAUGACAGGGGUGGUGUGCACAAUCAGUUGGGUCAGAGUUCAUCAGCUGCCUUCCCUCCAAAACGUAGGCUGAUGCAACAGCGAAGGGCCUCAACUGUGCCGACUUUCACAGUCAAGAGGUUGGCUGCAGAGGGCGCUUGGAUGCCAGCCGUUGGUAACGUUGCUACUAUCAUGUGCUUUGCUAUUUGCCUUAUUUUGAACAUUAACCUGACUGGCGGCUCCAAUCGUGCAAUAUUCUUCUUGGCACCAAUCUUGCUGCUACUGAACCAGGAUUCAGACUUUGUUGCUGGGUUUGGGGACAGGCAAAGGUAUUUCCCUGUGACAGUGGUUAUUUCAGCUUACCUAGUCGUGACUGCUAUCUACAGGAUAUGGGAAGAAGUCUGGCAUGGGAAUGUUGGGUGGGGCCUGGAGAUUGGAGGUACAGAUUGGUUCUUUUUGGUCAAGAAUGCAGCCCUCCUUGUCCUUACUUUCCCUAGCCACAUCUUAUUCAACCGUUUUGUAUGGAGCUUCACUAAGCAGACUGAUUCAACACCAUUGCUUACAAUGCCCCUUAACCUACCAUCUGUGAUAAUGACAGAUGUGCUCAAGGUUAAGAUAUUGGGGAUACUGGGGAUGUUAUAUUCCUGCGUGCAGUAUCUAAUCUCAAGACAACACCAUAUUACGGGAUUGAAGUAUAUUUAGUUGAGCUACAUACUGUGUAAAAUAUUUUCAGAGCAAAUUUUCAAGUUAAGAGAUGUGAGAGUUCUAUUGCUCUGUUUUUGCAUUGUGCUCAGAAGGAAUGAUGCUUUGGUGGGUUAGGCUCUUUUCAAUGAGACAUGAAUGUUAAUGCUGUGUACUGAGGUGAGAGUAUAGUGUUUAAUGUUUGGUGGUA